rnacentral:rRNA from 1 species
GACGAACGCUGGCGGCGUGCCUAAUACAUGCAAGUCGAACGCUUUUUCUUUCACCGGAGCUUGCUCCACCGAAAGAAAAAGAGUGGCGAACGGGUGAGUAACACGUGGGUAACCUGCCCAUCAGAAGGGGAUAACACUUGGAAACAGGUGCUAAUACCGUAUAACAAGUAAAACCGCAUGGUUUUACUUUGAAAGGCGCUUUGCGUCACUGAUGGAUGGACCCGCGGUGCAUUAGCUAGUUGGUGAGGUAACGGCUCACCAAGGCAACGAUGCAUAGCCGACCUGAGAGGGUGAUCGGCCACAUUGGGACUGAGACACGGCCCAAACUCCUACGGGAGGCAGCAGUAGGGAACCUUCGGCAAUGGACGAAAGUCUGACCGAGCAACGCCGCGUGAGUGAAGAAGGUUUUCGGAUCGUAAAACUCUGUUGUUAGAGAAGAACAAGGAUGAGAGUAAAAUGUUCAUCCCUUGACGGUAUCUAACCAGAAAGCCACGGCUAACUACGUGCCAGCAGCCGCGGUAAUACGUAGGUGGCAAGCGUUGUCCGGAUUUAUUGGGCGUAAAGCGAGCGCAGGCGGUUUCUUAAGUCUGAUGUGAAAGCCCCCGGCUCAACCGGGGAGGGUCAUUGGAAACUGGGAAACUUGAGUGCAGAAGAGGAGAGUGGAAUUCCAUGUGUAGCGGUGAAAUGCGUAGAUAUAUGGAGGAACACCAGUGGCGAAGGCGGCUCUCUGGUCUGUAACUGACGCUGAGGCUCGAAAGCGUGGGGAGCAAACAGG